rnacentral:sRNA from 1 species
GCUGGGCAUGGUGGUGCACGCCUGUAAUCCCAGUGGCUCUGGAGGCUGAGGCAGGAGGAUUGCGAGUUCAAAACCAGCCUCAGCAAAAGCGAGGUGCUCAGCAACUCAGUGAGACCCUGUCUCUA